GGAAAGGAGGAGAGACCUACAUUUAAAAAGGCAGGAACCAGCCUAACGCGGAGAUCCAAAAAUGCCCGGGGAAACCUCCAAUCACUGUGAACACGUUUAAAAGACAUAAUCAGGGGAGCCAAGAUGGAAAUGGGCAAAGUGGUGCUCUCUGCAGAUGGUUCAGGCACGCCACCACCAACCUGGACAAUGAUUAACCGGGGAAGGAUAAUCUCAGUCCGUGGGGUAGCGGUGAUCUCUACAGGAGGCUGGUUCUCACGCAGCCCGAGAGCCCUUUGCUCCUGACUGAUCCUUUCUCUCUCCCUGUCUUGUAUUUUCUCUUUCUCU